CCUACGGGUGGCAGCAGUGGGGAAUAUUGGUCAAUGGAGGCAACCCUGAUGCAGCCACGCCGCGUGCGUGAAGACGUCUCUCGGUGUGUAAAACUCUAUCAGCAGGGAAGAAAAUGACGGUACCUGACCAAGAAGCCCCGGCUAACUACGUGCCAGCAGCCGCGGUAAUACGUAGGGGGCAAGCGUUAUCCGGAUUUACUGGGUGUAAUGGGAGCGCAGACGGCGGUGCAAGUCUGGAGUGAAAGCCCGGGGCUCAACCGCGGAACUGCCGUGGAAACUGUGCGGCUAGAGUGAAGGAGGGGCAGGCGGAAUGGAUAGUGUAGCGGUGAAAUGCGUAGAUAUCAGGAGGAACACCAGUGGCGAAGG
rnacentral:rRNA from 1 species